CUUCGUCCUUAUACCAGUUGAUGCCAUGAUGCAAUGCUGUGAGGUGCGAAAACUCACCAUCAUAAUUCUUUACAGGACAUUCAAGGCUAACCGUAGUGGCAUUCGUUGGGACAUAAAUCACCGCCUCUUUUUCAUCAAAAUACGGGAUAGGGAUUACUGGUUUGGAUGUGGCUUUUGCCAAAUUACCAGGCGGGUAUUGUGGUUCCUCCUCAUCAUUGUACUCGGCAUACUCAUCAGCAAGGACUAACCAGAAAAAGAACAAAUGUUGAAUUCUACGGAUGUUUACAAACUUGGCACCCAACAGAAGACAAAACAAAUACUGGAGCAUAGAUACCUACAGAAUUGAAGUUGGAAAACAUAUACAUAUUUCUACAUAUACAUGUAGAUCAUAGAGAGUGCCAUAGCAAGGCUUUGUAAUAACCCCAAGUUGAAAUCCCCUUGUCAGAGGAAGAAGAAGAAGUCCAGCAUCUCAUAUCUUUGCCGCCUUAUGAAUUGUAUCGCCGCAUCUGUAUCUGCAUCUGUAAGAUGCAUUCUGUCUACCCCAACGAGUAGGCGUCGGCCAAGCAAGAUGUCUCUCUCUCCCUCUCUCUUUCCUCAUCACCAGCUCACUUGUCUCUGGAAGGAACAAAUCACAGUUUGUCAAUGUAAUCAACUAGCUUCCCAUGCAGAAAAAUAUUGUUUGCAUGGCCUGAGAAACUCGCAUUUUCAUUAAGACAUUUAUGCACAUAUGUAUGUUUACAUACAAAUAUAUACAUAUAAAUAAAAUUCUGCAAAAUACUUCCAUGUAAAAUGAUGACGACGACGAAG